rnacentral:snRNA from 1 species
AUCUCAGAAUCAUAAUCUACUCGUAAUUGUCAAUUGCUUUUUACUAUUAACAACCGAGGUUAUGUUUCAAUAAUGAGAAUUAUCGAUUUUUGGAUGCUCCUCUGGAGCAU